GUGGGAAAGCCACAGAUCAGUUCUGCGCCUCCUUCCAUAUGACGUAACGGCCAAAAAAUCAAGGGCGACAAUCGCGAUUUUUACAUAGACGGCGACAGUAUCGCGCCAUCUCGGUAAUUUGUUUACAUCGUGUACGUGUGAUUUUUCAAGAAAUUUACUAUUAAAGACAAUUAAACUUGUGUCAUUUCAUCAUUAAUUAGUUAUAUAGGUAAGUUUUACAGGUGACUAUGCUAUAUUUUCUUCUUAGGAGAUUUUAUUUUACAAGAAACAAACAUCUGAAACUGGCAAGACACGUUGUUAUUUUGGAAGAUAAAAAUAUGGCGGGUGUUUUCCGCUUCUGAAAAUAACUGACACAUUUGCAUCCUAUUGGCUAUUUAAAUAUAAAAUGACCAAAAAUAGUAUCUAUGAUGAUAGGAGUCCCUAAAUAUUUGCAUAAAUACCCAUCACUCCUUGUCAAAUUGUAACUGAGGCUGCGAAAAGGAAGCACAUAAAUCGACGCCAUUUUUCAACAGAUUAAGGUUUCUGAGCUCACGAAAUCCUACUAUUAUUACUUUUAAUGGUUAGUAGAAAGAUAUCAACAUUAUCCAUAACAUAAUUCAUUGAUCAGAUCGGGUUAUGGCUAUAUGUUUGCCUCUUUUUCGAUGCUGAAAUCCAUUAAAAUUCCCCCAGACCACACGAAAUAAACGCCCCUUUCUCAGCCCGAGACUUCAAUUUUGAUUAAAACUUGAAUUUUGGCAUGUCAAUGUUAGCAUUUAAAUUUUAAUUAAAUUAUUACGGUUGUGUAAAGCAUUUGUGCUGAUUUGUUUGGUUGUCUCGAAUAGUAAAAGGUUAAUUAAAUGGUUUUAUAUUAUUAUUUUUGAACCCAAAAAGUGUGUGACAAAAACAAAAACAAACAAAAUAAAAUUAUAGGAAAAAUAUAACAACUACUAAGUAUAGUUUAAUUUUAUCCUAAACCUCUAUCCAUCAUUUCUUACAGAUAGUACAGGGUGAGGGUUCACAAAAUAGGGAACCAGGGGUGGAUACAGCCAUUUUGAAAAAGGGGUUCCCUACCCAGGAUAAAAAGGGGGGUUCCAACUAAAUGUCCCCUUUCAAAUGCAUUGAUUGUCCAUAAAAAGGGGAGAUUCCAAUCCCGGAACCCUAUCCCUGGAUCCGCCACUGGGAACUAUGGCUAAAAGUAUAAAAAAAAAUUGA
rnacentral:lncRNA from 1 species